UCGAACGGCAGCGAAGAGACGCUUGCUUCUCUGUCGGCGAGUGGCGAACGGGUGAGUAUAGCAUCGGAACGUGCCAAGUAGUGGGGGAUAACCAAGCGAAAGUUUGGCUAAUACCGCAUAAGCUCUAAGGAGGAAAGUAGGGGACCGUAAGGCCUUACGCUAUUUGAUCGGCCGAUGUCGGAUUAGCUAGUUGGUGAGGUAAUGGCUCACCAAGGCGAUGAUCCGUAGCGGGUCUGAGAGGACGAUCCGCCACACUGGGACUGAGACACGGCCCAGACUCCUACGGGAGGCAGCAGUGGGGAAUUUUGGACAAUGGGGGGAACCCUGAUCCAGCCAUGCCGCGUGUAUGAAGAAGGCCUUAGGGUUGUAAAGUACUUUUGUUAGGGAAGAAAAGCUAGUUUUUAAUAAAGACUAGUGAUGACGGUACCUAAAGAAUAAGCACCGGCUAACUACGUGCCAGCAGCCGCGGUAAUACGUAGGGUGCGAGCGUUAAUCGGAAUUAUUGGGCGUAAAGCGAGUGCAGACGGUUGUUUAAGCCAGAUGUGAAAUCCCCGAGCUUAACUUGGGACGUGCAUUUGGAACUGGAUAACUAGAGUGUGUCAGAGGGAGGUAGAAUUCCACAUGUAGCGGUGGAAUGCGUAGAGAUGUGGAGGAAUACCGGUGGCGAAGGCAGCCUCCUGGGAUAACA
rnacentral:rRNA from 1 species